UACGGGGGGGAGCAAGCGUUGUUCGGAUUUACUGGGCGUAAAGGGCGCGUAGGCGGCCAGCACAAGUCAGUUGUGAAAUCUCCGAGCUUAACUCGGAAAGGUCAACUGAUACUGUGCGGCUAGAGUGCAGAAGGGGCAACUGGAAUUCUUGGUGUAGCGGUGAAAUGCGUAGAUAUCAAGAGGAACACCUGCGGCGAAGGCGGGUUGCUGGGCUGACACUGACGCUGAGGCGCGAAAGCUAGGGGGAGCGAACGGG
rnacentral:rRNA from 1 species